rnacentral:rRNA from 1 species
AUGAAAAAAAGAGGGUGGAAAGGAAACCCGAAGUGUUCUUUCUGUGGGGAGAAUGAGACUUCCCAGCAUCUCUUCUUUGACUGCCCUGUAGCUAAGGUGACCUGGAGAAGCGUUGCCUGCAUGCUCGGCACUGAUCUGUGCCCGAACAGCUUAUGGCAUGCUUACUCCAGGUGUUAUGUUUACUUCCCGAAUGGGGAGAUUUUCUACACAGUUGGCAUAGCUGCGCUUUGCUGGGCUAUUUGGACAUGUCGCAAUGGUGUUACGUUUGAAUCUAAACAUUUGAAAACCCCUUUUGAAUGCUGCUUCUCUAUGUGUGCUUUUCUUGGUUAUUGGGCAGGGCAGGACUAUUGA